AUGCAUUAGUUUGUACCAACAUUCCAAAGGAAUAACACUGGAAGCAUUAGGAUCUCAAGGUAUUAAAAGUCCGAAGAUCAAUAGUAUGGAUAACCAGAGCAAAGCAAAUAUAGGAUGGUCGAUGUUGGUAUUCCUUCAUUAAUAAUUUGCAAUGGGAUAAGCGAACAUAACAGUUUAAAGAAAAUCAACCUUGCCUUUAUCUACAAAAAUUAUUAAUGUUACAAAAAACGUCCGCACUACAAGGUAAACAGUUUUACUAGCAAGAAACAAAUUUCUCAACUGAUGAUCAAUCUACAUUAUCCAUUAAGUGUGUUUAAAAAAAAUAUUAUCAGGAAAAAUCAUGUCUUAGAAUGAGUAAUACCCACAGGAAAAGAAAGGGUACAGGGUAUGCUCUCCAAAAAAAACUUCAGUGAAACUAGAUAUACUUGUAAAACUUGUUGUGUAUCCCUGUAUACAUAUAGA